UACGUAGGGUGCAAGCGUUAUCCGGAAUUAUUGGGCGUAAAGAGCUCGUAGGCGGUUUGUCGCGUCUGCUGUGAAAACCCGAGGCUCAACCUCGGGCCUGCAGUGGGUACGGGCAGACUAGAGUGCGGUAGGGGAGAUUGGAAUUCCUGGUGUAGCGGUGGAAUGCGCAGAUAUCGGGAGGAACACCGGUGGCGAAGGCGGUUCUCUGGGCCUGUACUGACGCUGAGGAGCGAAAGCGUGGGGAGCGAACAGG
rnacentral:rRNA from 1 species